GCAAACUUGGUCAUUUAGAGGAAGUAAAAGUCGUAACAAGGUUUCCGUAGGUGACCUGCAGAAGGAUCAUUACCAAGCUGGUUUUUUAACCAUAAACAGAUCCCACUUGUGUGCACUCAUUGGAGUCAAGGAGAUUUUUCUCCAUGGCUCCCAACCUCUUUUCUCUUUGUUUUAACUUGUCUGAUUCUUCAAAUCUUAUUUGAUUUAAAAUACAACUUUCAACAACGGAUCUCUUGGCUCUCGCAUCGAUGAAGAACGCAGC
rnacentral:misc_RNA from 1 species